UAACAGAGGUCUCAAGCGUUGUUCGGAUUCAUUGGGCGUAAAAGGGUGCGUAGGUGGCGCUGUAAGUCGGGUGUGAAAUUUCGGAGCUAACUCCGAAACUGCAUUCGAUACUGCGGUGCUUGAGGACUGGAGAGGAGACGUGGAAUUCAUGGUGUAGCAGUGAAAUGCGUAGAGAUCAUGAGGAAGACCAGUGGCGAAGGCGGG
rnacentral:rRNA from 1 species